rnacentral:rRNA from 1 species
AAUGAACGCUGGCGGCAGGCCUAACACAUGCACGUCGAACGAGUGGAGGACUGGUGAGUAAUGUCUGGGAAACUGCCCGAUGGAGGGGGCUGACUACUGGAAACGGUAGCUAAUACCGCAUAUCAUCGGAUGUGCACAGAUGGGAUUAGCAAGUAGGUGGGGUAACGGCUCACCUAGGCGACGAUCCCUAGCUGGUCUGAGAGGAUGACCAGCCACACUGGAACUGAGACACGGUCCAGACUCCUACGGGAGGCAGCAGUGGGGAAUCGUGCAAAAUGGGCGCAAGCCUGAUGCAGCCAUGCCGCGUGUAUGAAGAAGGCCUUCGGGUUGUAAAGUACUUUCAGCGAGGAGGCGUUACUCGCAGAAGAAGCAUCGGCUAACUCCGUGCCAGCCGCCGCGGUAAUUC